rnacentral:rRNA from 1 species
CGGGACGGGUGAGUAACGCGUGGGUAACCUACCCUGUACACACAGAUAACAUACCGAAAGGUAUGCUAAUACGGGAUAAUAUAUUUGAGAGGCAUCUCUUGAAUAUCAAAGGUGAGCCAGUACAGGAUGGACCCGCGUCUGAUUAGCUAGUUGGUAAGGUAACGGCUUACCAAGGCGACGAUCAGUAGCCGACCUGAGAGGGUGAUCGGCCACAUUGGAACUGAGACACGGUCCAA